CUAAUGGGAAUUGAUAAUUUUACUCCUCGAUAGUCCAUUUGUCAGAAGAAAUAUGCGUUUUAGCUAGACAUUUGGAAAUCCAGCGUAAAACUGGUCAACAGCCACGACAGGGCGCAGCCAUUUUUGAAUGUUCCAACUAAAUCGUGAAAAAGUACAGUCAGGGGCAACAUGGCGCUUGGCAGGGUCGGCGGCUGCAUCCGAAAACUGCUUCACGAUUGUCCCUCAAAGGGAUUACUUUGUGGCCGCAUACAAUCGGACUGUAUGGCAUGCAGAGUAGGAGCAAAAAGGCAUCUAUUGUCAGAGGAUGUUGUCAAACUACAAGAAUUUCAGCUUCGGAAACAGGCAGUGGCUCAUCAGGUGUCCGGAUCAAAAAGUUGACUACUCAAGUUUUAAUGUGACAUGGACAAGUACAGUGACAUGGACAAGUACAGUGACAUCAAAAACAAGGACAUUUCUAAGUGACCCCAAACUUUUGAACGGUCAUUAUUUGGAGGUAUUCAAUCGGAAGCUAAAGAAGAACGAGUUAAUAUUGAAGGAUGGCCUGAAACUGCUUCUACACCUAUGCCAAUCUGCAGAGGACAUGGUCACAGCCAGAGGUGCCAUCUACAGGACAUGAGAGGAUUAUUUUCGGAAUCAACCUCCUUCAAUAUUGCCAUAGACAUGUUGUUUAUGAAAGGAUUAUAUGAGAAGUGAUGUUGAAAAAGCACAAUCUAUGUUCGGUCAGAUUAUGAGCACUGACAGCGGAAUAUGUCAAAAUCUCAAAGUGCUGAUGCUGGCUAUGGCAGGAGCUGUGAAAUAAUCACUCUCUGUCUUGACAUUAGCAUUGGGAUCCAGCAGCCCUGCAUUUAUAAAGAAGCCUGAAUUCGCACAGGAAGUGUUAAGUAAAAAAAACUCCAAAUGGAUGUUUAAUGUCUGAUGCAUAAUCUGUGUAAUUAUCUGAGUCAUCCAGUCACUAAUAUAAUUCAUCAAUACAUCUAUGUGUGCGUGGUCUCUUUCUCAGGGGACUUAGUGCGUCUUCGGAGCGAGGACAGCCCUCUGAUGGCGAGCGUGGAGCAGGCAGUGCCCACCUCCAGCAGGCAGGUCAGGUGACCCAACGAAACCUGGACAAGAUGUUGUGUCAUACCCCCAUGGGGAAGAAGAGGAUGCCCAUGGGGAUAAUGGACGAGAGAAGGAUCAGCCAGAGGACUCCGAGGCCUCUGCAGUCCACUCUGUUGUCAGAGUGAAUGGGACUAGGUGUAUCUCUCAGCGUGUUUGAGGGGAUCAAGGUGAGGCGCAGAAUUGUGAAUCUUGAUCAAGUACUGAGUAGGUUUUUGGGAGGGGAUUUGCAGAUCAGUGAUUCUGCGCAGUCCGAGUGCAAUGUAGUCGAUUUUAAACAAACAUUGUUUCAUUCUAAACUCUGCCUUAAUUGUACCAGUCCCUGUCACAGCCAUGGGGGUCUGCUCUCACACCACCCAAACAAGGCUGAACAGAGAUGCGCUCUCUCCCUACACCCAGACCUGGACUUUAUAGAGACCUAUAGUGUACCAUGCAGUGCAAUGUACCUCUCCUCUCAGCCAGAGACCCUUCUGUAUUCCUCCUUUUUGAUCAUAUUCUUCACCCGUUCACAUGCAAUGGUACUGGUAUACUAGUUGGUUCUACGUCUGGGGAGCCCCUUCAGAGCAUUUCAGACUUUUAACUGCUGGCUGUGAAAAGGUUUGUUGAAUCCAAGGGACACCAAUGUGUGCAAGAGAAGAAUGUAAUGGUGUAUGUGAGACAGAUAUGUAUAAACAUGUAAUUAUUUGUGAUUUAUAGGGUAAUACAUAUUGAAUGAAAUAAAAGCUGAUGUUGUAGAACUCUUUAUUUUAUUGUUGAAUAAAGAGUCCUUCUUUA